CAUAUAUAGAUAGAUACUUUAUAAAGUUAUAUCGGGUCAUAUCUCGGAUAUUUAAGUUUUAAAAUUAUAAAAAGGUAUAUUUUAAUAAGUGACUUAUACAAUCGAGCUAAAAAUGUUUUCAUUCAAUUAUACCAAAACGAGACGCAUUAUAGUAUAUAUCUAGAAACGAGCUAACGACAGAGUAGACAUUAAACGGUCAGCCUCGUUGGAGUCAAAUCAGGACGUCCCUCCAGAACGAGCCCGUGCUUGCCCAUCUGCCCUGGUUAAAAUGGAAAGGUCCGGGUCAACAGUAAUACCUCCUUCGAAUAAAACAUGCUGAAAUUAUAUUACGUUAGUUAUUUAAUUUGUAUUGUUUAAAAUAUAUUUUCUUGGUCAUUAAAUAAAAAGGUUAAGAAUUAAA